UACAGAGAGUGCAAACGUUGUUCGGAAUUACUGGGCGUAAAGCGCGGGCAGGCGGCUCGAUGCGUCUGAUGUGAAAUCUCCUCGCUCAACGGGGAGAGGCCAUUGGAAACGGUCGAGCUGGAGGGCAGUAGAGGUAGGCGGAAUUCCGGGUGGAGUGGUGAAAUGCGUAGAGAUCCGGAGGAACACCAGAGGCGAAGGCGGCCUACUGGGCUGCACCUGACGCUGAGCCGCGAAAGCCAGGGGAGCGAACGGG
rnacentral:rRNA from 1 species